AGCACAGAGCAUGGGUUUGUUUGCUGUUGGUGUUCCUGGGGAGGAGAGGUGGCCGAGACACGUUGCAAUGAGUGUGCCAGUCAGCCGGCAGCCCUUGCCGCAGGUUCAUGUGCAGGAACCAGAAGUGGCUCUGGAGAGGAAACACUGAUCCACCUGCGACAUCUCCAUUGCAGGAGUUGGGAACAAGUGGAUAGUGACAGAGGAGGAUUCUGUGAUCCCUGCAGUGCACCUCAAGGUGCAUCUGCUUGCUGAAAGGGAUGGCAGAGGACGCCUUGGCUACAGGACCAGGAUGCCUGAAAUUUCAGUGACUUUGGAGUAUUUCUGCCACACUGACUGUGUGAAGCCUUCCCUGGCAACGUGCCUGUUUUCCACCUGAGCUUCAGAACCAAGGUGACUGACUGAGCCAGAGUGAGUAUCAGCAAACUGCUUGUACAAUGGAGACUCCACUCUGUUUUGCUCUGAAAGUCUGUAGGAAAAAUGAAAGUUACCUUCGCUAUAAUGCUCUUUUGACCAUGGAAAGUUUCUGCUGUAAAACUCUGUAAUUAACAGGGAGGUUAAAGCUUUAUGAUGCUGUCUGUGGCAUGCUCUUUACUGUGAAACAUACCUCUGGAGUCACAUCAUGAGUGACAAUUUCCACUCCCAUUUAGAGAACGCAUCAGAAAUCUUUUCUUUAUGAUUCCAGAGGAAAACUUCAUAGAGGAAAUCCAAAUUGCUUAAAAAAGUUUUAUUACCCACACUCUAUUCACAUCUGAGACCCUGAUUUUCACUUUUAAAAAAAAAUUCUUCCUGUUUAAAAGCUCAUGCAGUCAGUGACUUGUCUGGCUUUACCUCUAAUGAGUUAACUUGAACCAAAAUUGAUGGGGGAACAGGAAUUUAAAAGAUAAUAAAUUUCUACAAGGGCUUCAAAAGUAAGCAUCUAAGUGGGGGGAGAGACCCCACUAGGGACCUUGGUAUGCAAACCUGCAGACACCAUUGAAAUCCCAUGGCAGGAUGUAUUUGCAAAGCUCAUAUUUUCUCUUUUUUCUCAUGGAACUUAUGGAGGUUUUUCUCUUAUGGAACUCGGAUAUUAGCUUUUGCCCUUGAGAUCUAUAGAAAACCAGAUUUCCUCUAUUCCAGAGCUCAUGCAGAUACACUCUGAGUAGCUGAGUGUACUCAGAACUCAAAAAGCUGAGCUUUUUGACUACAAAGCAAUGCUUAAAAAUACCUCAGAAUGAUUUGAGGUUGUCACUAGAAAGAGCUGGAAAGCUUUCUUGUGGUGACUGAGGGGUCCUUACUGCCCACUGCUGACUGCCUUUGCAGAAACAACUUGCAAACAAGACAAGUGUGGCUUUCACUCAGCACACUGAGGCACCAGGAAGGGAAAGACCUCACCAGGGACAAAAGCCAGUGCUCAAAGCCACUGACCAGGCCAGGAGCAAAGACAGGAGCAAAAAUGAGGCCACCCAAAUUCCAGCAUCCAUGAGACAGAGGACCUUGGAGAUUUCAAGAGUCAGAAGCCUGUGGAACCUGUCUGCUGCAAAAGCAGGUGGGCAGCAGUGUGGCUCCUCCCACAAAUGCCAAAGUUCUGCUCCUGCAUUGCUUCCAGGGAAGUCAUUCAAAAGUGAACAGGUUCCUCACCCAUCCACGCUAGAAAACUCUCCAUUUCCAUGGGCAGAGGUAAUGAAGGAUGCUGCCACAGUAUUAAUUUGCCUGAGGUGGACAGAGAGAAGGGAACAAGGCAACACAAUGCAGUGCCUGGAGAAAGAGAAAUACAGGCUCUUACUUUAGGGCUUCAUCCUGUCUGGGCAGUAAAUACAGUCAUGAUAAAGCAGUUUUCUAACAAUUCGUGCACAGCCAAGCAGUUCUCAGCGUUAUUUUCUAGAGGUUUUUGCAGUGGUUUGUAAGUGGUGCACACAGCAGGUCAACUUAACCUCUCUCAAACAAUACAGUAUGACUGAAUGGAUUAUAUUUUCAGAAUAAUCUAAGAUGCUGCUACCACUAGGUUCCCUCCAUCCUUCCUCGGAGUGUGGGAGACCAGUCCUGUUUGCUUUAGCAGGCAAAGACUCUCCCACAGGUGCUUAUGCCAUUUUAGUACUUCCAGUCUCUUUGAGGAGACUGGAGCUCCGGAGACAGGACAUGAUGUAGCCACUUCAGGAGAUGCCGCAUGACACUGAUUUCCACAGCAAGCAGAGUGGAAGCCCUUCAUCACCCACUCUGAGCAGGGAGCUGCACCAGCUGGCCUUGCAGGACCCUUCCAGUACAAAUUAUCCUCUGAAUCUGUGCUGUGGGUACUGACUGUGCAAUUUUCCAUCUCCUAGCCCAAGCUUAAGGAUGAGCAGCUGGCUCAGGGCUCAACAGCAUCAGCCAAAGGGGGAUCUCUCCCAGCCCCAGCCGUGGUACCAGUGCUGCUCAUUUUAGUUGCCCACAGAAUGGAGAUCAGUAUGGGACCAAACAUUUGGAGAGGGAUGAGCUUCACUCUUGGGGAGCUCUCCUUUUGGAAUGUAUAACCAAAGUUUUAGCCUGCAAAUCACCCUCCAUGGUGAGUUAGGAGCAGACAUAUCUGAUCAGGACCCAAGCACUUCCCAUCUCCCAAUCACAAGCCCCAGAUUCAACAGCAGGAGGAGAGUGUCACUGAGCAUUUCACAACAACCACAAAACGUUCAGUUCAAGAAAUGGACAAAGGUUCAGGGAGGUUAUUUUCCAGUUUCACACCCAAAACUGGUUUGCCUAGACCAGAAUAAGCUGGGCUAGUUACUUAAACACUGGGCUCCAUUAUAACCAAUAAAGUGCAAGGUGAGCCUGCCCCUCCCGGAUGAGCCAGGCAGAAAACUCGCACCAAAGUUCAGGCUGAGGAAUCAUUUAAGAAGAUCAUGCCUUUUAACAGUAACAGCAGAGACUUCAGGCUGUAUGUUAGAUGAAACAGGCAAGAGACAGCCAAGGUGUCAUCACCAGCUUACAAAGAACUCAGAAGCUCUUGUUCUGCAAAAUACCAAAAAUAUAUUCAGAAGAUGUGCAGAACCCAGAUUUCAUCUGUAGUCAUUGUUGCCUGUACCCACAGGUUUUUCUGAAGUCAUAACACUGUAAGAGUGGCCACAGUGGAUUAGAGUAGGUACCUCUGUCCCUGUGUUCAGCUGCUUGCAGUCUCACUCUGGAUGCCUGAACAAGAGCAAGAGCAUUGCAAGAAUAUGCUCUCCCAGCUUUCAGCUACCUCCAUCAGGCUCCAGGAAACACUCCGAGAUUAAAUUUGCCCAUUCAGCAGCCCCUAGAUGUGUGUUCUCUUUCAAGUGCUACCUAGUCUCCUCCUAAACAUACAUAAACCUCUUAAUUCAACAGGCCUGCUCCCUUGCAGUUGCAGGAGUAGUGUGGUUCUUAUAACGUGUUAAUUUUUGUUUAAUGUCACCCACUGAGAUCACUAACUCGAUAUUUCAUUAUUCACUAGAAAAAACAUGCAUUUAAUUCUUAUCAUUGCAGAAGGUGUUGGAAAAGCGAUACAGGUAAAGGAUCCUAGGACACCUGACAGCAGCACACACAGGAAAGGAAUGCAUGAUAAAGGAGCAGAUAAGCUUCCUGCAGACCCUUUCAGCCAGAAUCAGGGGACUGGCAGUAGCCUGGGAUUCAGAGCAGUCACAAAACUUCACAUUUUAGAAGUGAUACAGCAGAACAGCAGGAAAACUACACAGUUUUGUCUCCAGUCCAAAACCUGGGCCAAGAUUUUGGGAGGAAGACCUGACUUGCCGAAAAUGGCUUCCUUUAACACUUGUUUCACCUGGC